GACGAACGCUGGCGGCGUGCUUAACACAUGCAAGUCGAACGGUGACGCUGGAGCUUGCUCCAGCUGAUUAGUGGCGAACGGGUGAGUAACACGUGAGCAACCUGCCCUUGACUCUGGGAUAACUCCGGGAAACCGGGGCUAAUACCGGAUAUGAGCCUUAAUCGCAUGAUUGGGGCUGGAAAGUUUUUCGGUUGAAGAUGAUCUCGCGGCCUAUCAGCUUGUUGGUGAGGUAAUGGCUCACCAAGGCGACGACGGGUAGCCGGCCUGAGAGGGCGACCGGCCACACUGGGACUGAGACACGGCCCAGACUCCUACGGGAGGCAGCAGUGGGGAAUAUUGGGCAAUGGAGGAAACUCUGACCCAGCGACGCCGCGUGAGGGAUGAAGGCCUUCGGGUUGUAAACCUCUUUCAGUAGGGAAGAAGCGAAAGUGACGGUACCUACAGAAGAAGCACCGGCUAACUAUGUGCCAGCCGCCGCAGUAAUAC
rnacentral:rRNA from 1 species